CAGCCCCGCGGAGUCACGCGCAGCACGUAGGCGUCGCGCCGAGUCGCGCCGAGUCGCCCGUGUCGUCCGUGAUGCAAGUGUCGCGAGUGGGAUGAGUGUGGAAAGCGCGCACGACGCGUGCGCGAUGCUCGCCGGCCAGGUGAACGGCGUCGCGGAGAAGGACAAGGAGCAGGCCGUCGCGACGCCCGCCGACGCUCUGGAGUGCGACGAGGACCCCAAGGACUCUGUUGGCGACGAAGCGCCCGCCGACGCUCUGGAGUGCGACGAGGACCCCAAGAACUCUGUUGGCGACGAAGCGCCCGCCGACGCUCUGGAGUGCGACGAGGACCCCAAGGACUCUGUUGGCGACGAAGCGCCCGCCGCCAAGUCGCGGGACGCGAAGGAGGGCCAUGUCGAAGAGGACGACCCUGCCGAGGGGGACGAUGACGCCGCGAGCGAGGGUGGAGGCAAGGACGACGACGAGGACACCGACGACGCGUUCGAGGACGCUGAGUUCGCACCGCCGCCGCUGGCCCGCGGCCGCAGCAGCAGCUCUGUGGGGGCGUGGCUGACCGACGAGGACGAGGAGAGCCUCAUCGUGGACUUCCUGGACAAGAGCACGGACGAAGCUGAGGCGCGUCUCGCGGCCCGCAGGCAGGCCAGAGCGGAGGCGCGGGAGAUUCGAAUGCGGGAGCUGGAGCGGCAGCAGAAGGAGUCCGAGGAGAAUGCCGACCGCCUGUACGACAUGCAUCCCGAAACUGCUCUCCGGACGCCGCCAGCGCGCUCCGUGAGCCAGUCGCGGACGCCCGUCGUCAACAACAGCGGCGGCGGCAGCAGUGGCGGCAGUGGCGGCGCCAACAACCACCAAUGGAGCCGGCGGUCCUCGGAGGACUCCCUGGAGGACGGCGGCGGCCCCAGCCCCGGCCCCAACGGCGAGACGCCGCGGGACGGCAGGUCGACGCGCGACCUGCGGCACGAGCUCAAGGAGGUGGAGGACAAGUUCCGGAAGGCCAUGAUCCAGAACGCGCAGCUGGACAAUGAGAAGGCGAGCUACACGUACCAGGUGGAGCUGCUCAAGGACAAGCUGGAGGACCUGGAGGUGGCGUACGCCCAGCUGCAGCGUGAAAACAAGGAGAAAUGUCGCGAGGUCGACCAACUCAAACGCCUCACGCAGCGCUUGAAGGAUGAUCUGGUGAUGUGCCAAGCUGCUUUGGAAGAGCGUGAUAGACUUAUUCAGGAACAAGGUUUGGUUAUUGUUGGUGAUGAAGGGGAGCUAGAUGGCUGUGAAGAUGGUGAGAAGCGGACACCUAGGAAAGCUCUUGUCUCUGUUGAAUCAGCAGAGAUGCUGCAGAAAGCGGGUGAAGGGUCUCUAGAUGUUCGACUGCGAAAGUUGGCAGAGGAACGUAAUGAACUUUUGGAUCAAAUCCGGCAUUUUAAGUUGGAGCUCGAAGACGAGCGCAGUAGACAUCGAAAUGGACCUCGAACUCUUAAUGGUCCACAAGACUCAGAUAUGGAAGACCUUCAAAGGGAAUCUCAAAAAUUGUUAGGGGAUUAUAAAUUCAAACUUCAGAAGGCUGAGCAAGAUGUUUCAACAUUGCAGGCCAAUGUUGCAAGAUUGGAGAGUCAAGUUAUCCGUUACAAAUCUGCUGCUGAAACAGCAGAAAAAGUAGAGGAUGAAUUAAAGGUAGAAAAGAGGAAACUGCAACGAGAGGUUAUUAAUGGGCUUGGAGAUGAGAGUACUCUGGCUGUGUCUGAUAUAGCAUUUGAGGAAACUGGGUCAUUAAAAGAAUCAGGUCAUUUAGAGGAGGUCAAAGAAGCAGAUGAGCUGUCUGAAAGGAUCGAGGAUAGCAGCAAUGAAGGUGGUGAUGAGCAAGAUUUCUGGGCGGUAAUAUUUGAUGGGACUUCAGAUGAAACUUGUCAAAACCCAUCUUCAAAUGAAUCAAAUGGGGCUGAUGUUUGUGAUCCAAAAUCUUAUCCAAAGAGCAGCGUUAACAAUUCCCAGUUCACAAAGAUAUGUGAGGAUGAUAGUGAUGAUGAAUCUUUUGAAGCAAUUUCCGCCAUAGCCUUCCUUCUGGGUGACGAGGCUAAUUAUGCUGUUGACUCAAAUGCUGUUGACAAAAAUUUUGUGAAGGAAAACUGUACAGUUUGUGUUGCUGUUGAAGAUGAAGCAGAAGACUUCUGGGCUAAAUUACAGGAGGAAGAUGACGAAGCAUCUGACUUUCAGAAUCAAAAGUCAGACCGCGAUGAAUUUUCUGAUCCAAAUUCAUGGUCCAUUUUAGGAUCCAGUGAUCUCCCUGGUGCUGAUCAGUGUCCCAAUCAUUGUCAAUCUGAAGGAGCAAGGAAUGAAAAUGAUGUUGAAUCGGAUAUGUUUGAUUACCUUGAAGGUGUUACAAUUUGGGAUGAAGAUGGAGCUGACGAGAACAGUAAUGUCGCUAAUGGCUUUUACAAUGAUGAAUUGGAUUAUCUCGUAGGAGUUACUAUUUGGGCAGAGGCACCUGCUGAUUUAUUGUAUGAACAGCAAGCUGCUAUCGAGGAUCCAACUGGUAUUCUAGAUGAAGGCAAAGUUCAUCCCUCAGAAUACUACUGGAGUUACAAUAUUCAUAACUUCGAUCCUCAAGAUCUAUUAGGGGGAAAAGAACCAGAAGUUCACUUUGUGAGUCAAGAAUCAAAACGGUCUUUUGAAGUGUCUCUUGACAAUGACGGCUUGGAGGCUGUAGACAUGGACACAAAAUCCCCUUUCCCGAGCCUUGACAAAGAGAAAUCCGCUGCUAAGCACUUGUUUGCAAUACCAGAAUCGCCCCAAGAGGUUGAAGGGGCCCUGAACCUGAAAAGCCCAGCAGCCAAGAAUGGUUCUUCCCAAAGGUUCCCCAAGCACUCAAUGAUUCCCAAGCCCAAGAAACAGAAUCAACAAUGCCACAAGUCGGAUGCGGAUGCGAACGCGAACGCGGAUGAUUCCCCAGCGCCAAAUGUCACCUCGGCCACUUUAGAUCGUCCCGGCAGUCGCAGGUCGCGGGAUCGAGACAGAGACAGGGAGAAGGACCGGGAUCGGCGCAGGCGAGGACGAGGGUGAAAGAGAUAUCGGAGCGAUUGACUCUUGCUGAAGCAGCUAAGCUGGCGCUGACUCAGCAAUGCGAGAGGCUCAAGCAGAUCAUCAGAUAACACCUAUGCAUCCAUCACCAGUACUAUCAACCAUCAUUUCAUCUCAACUUACCACUCCGGGAGUCGUUGGCACAUGCAGAGGAACUAGAGACAGCCAAUUCACAUCUUCAAAGAAGAUUGGAUAAACUAAAAAAUGCCAAGUCUGCUCUAUUUAAGGAUCUCUGAUGUCCAUUCUACCAUG
rnacentral:misc_RNA from 1 species